UACGUAGGGCGCAAGCGUUUGUCCGGAAUUAUUGGGCGUAAAGAGCUCGUAGGCGGUUUGUCGCGUCUGCUGUGAAAACCUGAGGCUCAACCUCGGGGCUUGCAGUGGGUACGGGCAGACUAGAGUGCGGUAGGGGUGACUGGAAGUUCCUGGUGUAGCGGUGAAAUGACGCAGAUAUCAGGAGGAACACCGGUGGCGAAGGCGGGUCUCUGGGCCGAUACUGACGCUGAGGAGCGAAAGCGUGGGGAGCGAACAGG
rnacentral:rRNA from 1 species